AUGCACGCCCACUUCCUGUCCUGGGGGACAGGAAAUCCCCAGGAAGACACCAGAUUAAAUCAGAUCUGCACAGCCCAUCACCUUCCUCUGGGGGAGGAGCCCGAGGUCAGACGCGGGUGCCAGCGGUCCUGCUGCUGGCCAGGUGUGGUGAGAGCUAAGCCUGGAGUCAGGUCAGUGGCCCGGAGGAGGCAGGCCAAGCCCAGAAUGGGGAAGCCCUGGGAGGGUGGCCUGAGCCCCGGGGCUGAGCGCUCCUUGAAUGCUGGCUUCUUCGAGUCUCCUUCAUCACCUCUGUGCUUGGCAGAAUGGGCGCAACAGCAGCCUCACGAGUUGUGUGGGAUUGCGUGAGACCUUCGCCAAGACCCAGCCUGGGUCCAGGAUGUGGGGAGCCAAGGCGGGGUGCUAAGACCACAGGACAACAGGGGGCAAGAAUGCGCUGAGGCGGGUGCUGGCUUGCAGGUUGGGUGCCCGCACACUGUGUUGUGAGGAAGAGUGUGUCACGUGUGCACCCUGUGUCAGAACAAGAAGCCGAGUCUCUCCCUCUGCUGGGCCUUGGUUUCGUCAUUCAGAACAGGAGGGGCCUUUCGGCCAGGACAGUCUAAAGCAUGGGUUUGGGCUGGGGAGAGA
rnacentral:lncRNA from 1 species